rnacentral:rRNA from 1 species
UACAGGGGGGGGCAAGCGUUGUUCGGAGUUACUGGGCGUAAAGGGCCAGUAGGCGGCCAACUAAGUCACACGUGAAAUCCCCAGGCUUAACCUGGGAACUGCGUGUGAUACUGGAUGGCUUGAAUUCGGGAGAGGGAUGCAGAAUUCCAGGUGUAGCGGUGAAAUGCGUAGAUAUCAGGAAGAACACCCGUGGCGAAAGCGGCUCUCUGGAACGGUACUGACGCUGAGACGCGAAAGCGUGGGGAGCGAACAGG